rnacentral:misc_RNA from 1 species
AACGCACAUUGCGCCUAUUAGUAUUCUAGUAGGCAUGCCUGUUCGAGCGUCAUUAAGUCCACAUUAAGCCUCGUUGCUUAGCGUUGGGAAUUUAUAGAGAUAUAAUUCCUUAAAAUUAGUGGCAGAAGUGAAUCACACUCUGAGCGUAGUAAUAUUUUAUCUCGCUUUUGCAGUUGGUUUGCUUGUCGCCGUUAAACACCCCCUUUUUAAUGGUUGACCUCGGAUCAGGUAGGAAUACCCGCUGAACUUAA